UUUUACCAGGAAGCAGCCUUAAAAUAAAUUGCCAUCCUGGGGGCAGCCCAGAGCAAGAUUCAUUUGAAAUAUAUUCUGCGUAUAAGAGCACACUCCCAAUCAAUAUUUGGCAAGAAAAGCAUUUCUUAUAAACAAAGUUUUAAUUAUUAUUAAGUGCAUUGAAACUAAGCACUAAAAUGAAUGUUACUUUCUCAUGGGAAAAUUUCUUUAGUUUUCUCUAAAAUACCAUUUUUUUUAAAAGGGAAUUUAAUAAAAGUCUUUUCCAAUAAGCCUUUUGAUUUUCAGGAUUAGAUCACAGAAUUCUAGCAAAAUAGAAGACGUAUCCUUUUGCUAGACAGAAAACUACUCACUAUAAAAUGACAUGACCUCUAAGGAUGACUUAAAUGAAUCUUCUUACCUUAGUUUAAUUAAGUCGGCCCUUCAUUUUCUCCCAAGCGCAUAAUGAUAGCUCUGUCACUUCCCUGCAUGAGAUGCCAUUAUGUGGAUGGAGGGAAA
rnacentral:lncRNA from 1 species